AUUGAACGCUGGCGGCAGGCCUAACACAUGCAAGUCGAACGAGGGGCAGACGUGUGAGUAAUGUGGGGGAAAGUCCCAGAUUGAGGGGGAUAACUACUGGAAACGGUAUCUAAUCCCGCAUCCCAACGGGUGUCCCCAGAUGGGAUUAGCUAGUAGGUGGGGUAACGGCGCACCUAGGCGACGAUCCCUAGCUGGUCUGAGAGGAUGACCAGCCACACUGGAACUGAGACACGGUCCAGACGCCUACGGGAGGCAGCAGUGGGGAAUAUUGCACAAUGGGCGCAAGCCUGAUGCAGCCAUGCCGCGUGUAUGAAGAAGGCCUUCGGGUUGUAAAGUACUUUCAGCGAGGAGGCGUUACUCGCAGAAGAAGCAUCGGCUAACUCCGUGCCAGCAGCCGCGGUAAUUC
rnacentral:rRNA from 1 species